CCGAGCCCCAGGGCUGCGGUGGCUGCCUCCGCGCGACCCGGCGGUCCCAGUUCGGCCGCCGGGAGCCCGCGCUGUCCGCGCCUCCGGCCGGGCGGAUCCCAACGCGAUCGCCUCGUGCCCGAGCCGGGCGGGGGCCAGGAUGCGGACCUGAAAGCCUUGAGCCGGCCUCAUGACCCUGAGCACGUUGACUCGCGAAAGGAAGGCGCCUCCCGCCUGCACCUGCAGCCUCAGUGGCCCCGACAUGAUCCCCUACUUCUCUGCCAACGCGGUCAUCUCGCAAAACGCCAUCAACCAGCUCAUCAGCGAGAGCUUUCUAACUGUCAAAGGUGCUGCCCUUUUUCUACCACGGGGAAAUGGCUCAUCCACUCCAAGAAUCAGCCACAGACGCAACAAGCAUGCAGGUGAUCUCCAACAGCAUCUCCAAGCAAUGUUCAUAUUACUCCGCCCAGAAGACAACAUCAGACUGGCUGUAAGACUAGAAAGUACUUACCAGAAUCGAACACGUUAUAUGGUAGUGGUUUCAACCAAUGGUAGACAAGACACUGAAGAAAGCAUCGUUCUAGGAAUGGAUUUCUCUUCUAAUGACAGCUACUUGGACAGUAAGAGAAGUGCUGCCUACUUGAGAACAGUAGUGCUCAGUAGCACUUGUACCAUGGGCCUAGUCCUGCCUCUCUGGAGUGACACCCUAAUUCAUUUGGAUGGUGAUGGAGGGUUCAGCGUAUCAACAGAUAACAGAAUCCACAUAUUCAAACCUGUAUCUGUGCAGGCAAUGUGGUCUGCACUACAGAGUUUACACAAGGCUUGUGAAGUGGCCAGAAUGCAUAACUACUACCCAGGCAGCCUGUUUCUCACCUGGGUGAGUUACUAUGAGAGCCAUAUCAACUCAGAUCAAUCAUCAGUCAACGAAUGGAAUGCCAUGCAAGAUGUACAGUCCCACCGGCCUGACUCUCCAGCCCUCUUCACUGACAUACCAACUGAACGUGAGCGAACAGAAAGACUAAUUAAAACCAAAUUAAGGGAGAUUAUGAUGCAGAAGGAUUUGGAGAAUAUCACAUCCAAAGAGUAUAAUAUGUCAUCUUUGUUUCAGAUACGAACUGAGUUGGAAAUGCAAAUGGUUUGCAACCUGAGAGAAUUCAAGGAAUUUAUAGAUAAUGAAAUGAUAGUGAUUCUGGGUCAGAUGGACAGUCCUACACAGAUAUUUGAGCACGUGUUCUUGGGCUCUGAAUGGAAUGCCUCUAACUUAGAGGAUUUACAGAACCGAGGGGUGCGGUAUAUUUUGAAUGUCACUCGAGAGAUAGAUAACUUCUUCCCAGGAGUCUUCGAAUAUCAUAACAUUCGAGUAUAUGAUGAAGAGGCAACGGAUCUCCUGGCUUACUGGAAUGACACUUACAAAUUCAUCUCUAAAGCAAAGAAACAUGGAUCUAAAUGCCUUGUGCACUGCAAAAUGGGGGUGAGUCGCUCAGCCUCCACUGUGAUUGCCUAUGCAAUGAAGGAAUAUGGCUGGAAUCUGGACCGAGCCUAUGACUAUGUGAAGGAAAGACGAACAGUGACUAAGCCCAACCCCAGCUUCAUGAGACAACUGGAAGAGUACCAGGGGAUUCUGCUGGCAAGCAAACAGCGGCAUAACAAGCUCUGGAGAUCUCAUUCAGAUAGCGACCUCUCAGACCACCAUGAACCCAUCUGCAAGCCAGGGCUAGAACUCAACAAGAAGGAGAUCACCACCUCAGCAGACCAGAUUGCCGAAGUAAAGACCAUGGAAGGUCACCCAUCCAUACCUCCUGUCUUUGUGGAACAUGUUGUCCCACAAGAUGAAAAUCAGAAAGGCCUGUGUACCAAAGAAAGAGUGAUCUGCUUGGAGUUUACUUCUAGGGAAUUUCAUGCCGGACAGAUUGAAGAUGAAUUAAACCUAAAUGACAUCAAUGGAUGUACAUCAGGGUGUUGUCUCAAUGAAUCAAAAUUCCCCCUUGACAACUGCCAUGCAUCCAAAGCCUUAAUCCAACCUGGACAGGCCCCAGAAAUGCCCAACAAGUUCUCAGACUUAACAGUUGAAGAUUUGGAGACAGAUGCACUGAAAGCAGACAUGAACGUCCACUUACUGCCAAUGGAAGAAUUGACAUCUCGCCUGAAAGACCUCCCCAUGUCCCCUGAUCCUGAGUCACCAAGCCCCCAACCCAGUUGCCAGGCUGAAGUCUCAGAUUUUAGUACAGAUCGCAUUGAUUUUUUUAGUGCUCUGGAGAAGUUUGUAGAGCUUUCUCAAGAAACCCGGUCACGAUCUUUUUCCCACUCAAGGAUGGAGGAACUGGGUGGAGGAAGGAGUGAAAGCUGUCGACUGUCAGUGGUAGAAGUAGCCCCUUCUGAAGUGACAGCUGAGGACCAGAGAAGCAGCUCUUUGAGUAACACUCCCCAUGCAUCCGAAGAAUCGUCAAUAGAUGAGGAACAGUCAAAGGCAAUUUCAGAACUGGUCAGCCCAGACAUUUUCAUGCAAUCUCACUCAGAGAACGCAAUUUCAGUCAAAGAAAUUGUAACUGAGAUUGAAUCUAUCAGUCAAGGAGUUGGACAGAUUCAACUAAAGGGAGACAUUUUAUCCAACCCCUGCCAUACACCAAAGAAGAACUCCAUCCAUGAGAUGCCCCUUGAGAGGGCCCAGGCCCCGGAGAACAAACCUGGAAAUCUGGAGCCGAUUGAGGGUUCCUGCUCAGCCCAGCCUGAACUAGCCAAAGACUCGGGGAAGUGGGACCCAGAAGGCUGCCUAACUGUACCCUCAUCCACCACUGACUUGGAAGAAGAGGAACCAGCUGAGGGGGAACAAGAGCUCGGGGGCCCAGGGAUACACCCAGGUGCCAAGUGGUACCCUGGGUCUGUAAGACGAGCCACCUUGGAAUUUGAGGAACGCUUGCGGCAGGAGCAAGAGCACCACGGUGCUACUCCUGCUUGUACUUCAUUGUCCGCUCGCAAGAAUUCCAAGAAUGAUUCCUCUGUGGCAGACCUGGCACCGAAAGGGAAGAGUGAUGAAGCCACCCUAGGACAUCCGUUUGUCCCCAGGGAACCAGAGAUGAACAAGAGCAAAGGGAAAUCCAGUGGAUGUGAGGCUGGCUCCCUACUGCAUUGUGAGCAAGAUGUCAUUGUUCCAGCACCCAAGCUGCUGGAUUUCUGCCCCUUGCAGGCUCCUCAGGAGUGCUCGGAGUCAGAGACUAGAACCAAACAGCAAGGAGUCCUGAAAGAGCAGAGGACUGUGGUUUCAUGCCAGGAAUCUGAAACACAGGCAGUCCCUUUUCCCAAGAAGAUAGAAAUCAUUGAGUAUACCCACGCGGUCACAUCCCCCAAACACCCUGGGCCAGGGGGUGAAAUAGCCACCAGUGAAAAGAGUGGGGAGCAAGGACUGAGGAAAAUGAAAGUGGAGAAGUCCAUCACUGUGCUCUGUGCACUAGAUGAAAAUCUGAACAGGACGCUGGGCCCCGACCAGGUUUCUCUGUCCCCCAAAGUGCUACCUCUGCCUCCUCCUUUCUCUCCUGAGCACAACAGGCCCACCGACCCGACCUCCACCCUGAGCAGCCCUGAAGGCUGGGGCAACAGCCCGGCAACAGCCUUGGACAUCGCAGCGCCAUUUGUCAGUCACACCACCCACGUACCAUCUGCCAACUUGGAUUAUCUGCAUCCCCAGACCAUGGUUCACCUGGAAGGCUUCACAGAGCAAAGCAGCACCACAGACAGUGAGCCCUGUGCAGAGCCGGGGCGCUGGGAAGAGAGUCAGGAGGGCCCCCUGUCCAGCGGCAAUGAAGUGCCAUAUAAGGGCUCCCAGUUAACUAGUGAAGACCUGAGCUUAAUUAGCAAAUGUAGUGACAACAUUGGGAAGUUACAAGAAAAACUGGACCCAUCACCUGUAGCCUGUAGACUCCCUCAUAGUUCUAGUAGUGACAAUAUAAAGGAUCUCAGCCACAGCCCCCGUGUGGUGAAGGCGCACGCUAAAGAAAUCGAGUCCCAAGCGAUUUGCCAGAUAGGGCUCACCAAACCAUCCCAAAUGAGGCGUUCAGCUUCCCUCGCCAAGUUAGGUUACUUGGACCUGUGUAAAGACUGUUUACUGGAGAGGGAGCCUGUCUCCUCUGAGUCCCCUCAUCUCGAACUUCUUCAGCCCUUCAUCAGAACAGACUCAGGCAUGCAUGCCAUGGAGGCCCAGGAGCCCCCCGGAAACUCAGAUGCCCCCCAGAACCCAGAGCCCACCAAGUAUUUUAUAGAGCAACUUAAAACAACAGAGUGUAUCGCGCAGAGCAAGCCGGUGGAGAGGCCCCUUGUACAGUAUGCCAAAGAGUUUGGUUGCAGUCAGCAGUGUUUGCUCCCCAAGGCAGGACCGGAAUUGACUAGUUCUGAAGGAGGCCUUCCUUUGCUGCAGACCCAGGGGCUGCAGUGGGCAGGCCCAGCUCCAGGGCUGGCUUUGGCUCCCCGGCAGCAGCACCACAGAACUCACCCCCUUAGGAGACUGAAAAAAGCAAGUGAUAAAAAAAGGACAACCAACCCUUUCUAUAAUACCAUGUGAUUCUGAGCCUACACAUGUGACUUUCUAAAAGAAAUGUUUAUAAAAGGGGCAGGUGUAAUAUGUAAGGAACAUGCACUUUAUCGGUUAAUUUUAUAACAUUUUGGUCAUUUUACUGUUCCUGGCACAUGCAGAGUUUGGGGUUUUCUCCCUCUGUGUGUGUGAGAGAUUGAUUUGGACGGCCAGACCAUUUUAUCAUUUUUUAUUUUUAGAAAUUUCAAACCUCAAAAUAUACUCAUUUUCAAAGAACACCUUUAUCAAAGGCAAAUUGCUGUUUUUCAAUCAACUGCCACCUGCUCCUCACUUUGCCCUCUGAGAAAAGGCAUGCAUGCUUGAUUGAGGAUGGAAGCAGAUGGGGAGGGUGGGGGUGAAGCCGGAAAUUGAAAAUGCUGCCCCUGGGCCAGUGUGACGAUGGCUUGUUCUCCAGGCCUGAUGCUUCAGGUGGGCUGAAGGGCAGCGGGCCGGCGGGGACAUCAGCGCGCUCUCAGCCUGGUCCCAGCCCCAGCCCUUUGGAGUUUCUGAAGUGGGCAGGUUCUGCUGUUUUCAAAGGGGGUCUUCCAGAAUCCAUUCUCCUGCUGUUCCAGAGUGGAUCGUUACAGAAAGGCAUCAUAAUGGCUGGCUUUAUAAACCUGUUAGUAAAUCAGUUUUUUUAUUAAAUUAAAAGUCAACCCCAAAUGAAAUCCAAGAGGUCCUCUGUUGAGAAAAGCAUAAGAAGGAGGUGAAAUGGGAAACUGAGACACAAUAGGGACAAGUUUGAAAAAUAGCAAUUGAAAGUCAAUGUGUUCUUGUAAAAUGAAUACAUAUAUAGGGUUUUAACCCUUCCAUUACUUGAAUAAUUCUGUGGGCCUCUGAGUUUAAUGGCCAUAUUUUUUCCAAUUUAUUUUCCUCCCUCAUGCUGUUUCUCUCAAUGCUGCCUGUUUUGUUUUGUUUUAUUUCAUAGAUGACAUUUGAAUUGUUACAUUACUUUUGUAUAACCUCCAUUGAAUGCAACGUUUUCUUUUUGAUAUUAUCACUGUUAACACUUGACAUAAGUUUUUUUCCCCCUUUUCCUGGAAGAUUUGUCAUUUCUUUAGUUUUUACACAGUAUUUAUGUACAUAAUGUCAUAUUCUUACAGUGUUUUGUUAUUGAUGUCAGAGGGUCUUUUUGAUUUAUUUUUUUUAAGGAGUUAUACUGGAAAAAGACAACAGAAAUAAAACUGAUGGGUGUUGUAGGAAUCUGUAGAGUAUAUUGACAGUUGUUUUAUUGUUUAAAUGGAGGCUCCCAAUUGCCAGCUCCUGCCAAAUUAUGCAUUAGUAACUUCCUCCUCAGAGAAACCCCUAAAGGUUCCCUUUAGAUCACAGUUUGACUGACAGCUGCGUCCUCAACUGAAAUCCCAGAAAGUUGUUCGCCUUCACUGACCCACAGCCGGGGAGUGUAUGGGAGUGUUAACGGCUUCCCGCUUCCCCAGGGGGAAGCUCCUCAUGGACUAGGCUGAGAGGCUGCAGGGUGGCCUCCGCCAAGGGCAGGCGCCUUACAGAGUCCGUUUAGGAUGCCGCUGCUUUGCUGCCGCUGUGGAGAUCUUAGGACAGCAGCACCUGCCAUAAACCAGCCUCUUCCAGAAAGCAUAUUGAGACUGGAAUGGAGGACCCUCAUCAAAACUGAAGAGAUUCUGAAUGUUUGGGAUCAUUCCUAGCAUCUCGCCUCUUCCAACUCUUUAUCUAGCAUUAUCCUGGUUCUGUACCUUUAUCCCUACCGUAUCUCCUCUCUCUCAUCUUGGGAAUUACCAAGAGCUCCAAGGACAGCGUGAGGAGGACAGCCUAGGUUCUGAGGUCCCCUCCUGAUAAAGGCCGCAGACAGAUGCUGUUGGAUAGACCUGAAGCUUCUGAGACGUGGCAGCUCACAGAAACCUUCACCUGUUCCUUCUGAGGAUUCAGUUCUGAAGUGAUCUAGGCAUGUUUGGUAAAGAUGUUUUUGUGGGAGUGUUGUUGUUUUUUUAAGAAAGCAUUAUGCAAAAUGGUUCACUUUUAAGGGCAUUUUUAAAUAAAGCCAUUCUUUGGCUUUUUUUUUUUUUACAACUAUUUGUGGAUACUUUGUUUACAUUGUGUGAGUAUUAAAACGUGCAUCAUCUUGAUGGCAGCUCAGUCUCCUCCUCCAGGGACCCACACCUGGCUAUCCUGUGAGCCCUCGCACAGAGCACGGCUGUAAUGGUGUGGGUGAGCGGGGAAAACCUGGAGCUGACUUCCAUCUGUGUCCUGCACUCCCACCCAACACCCUGAACGGAAAUAGUCGUCAUUUCCUAAGUGAUGGUGUGUCUUACAGUGAUGGUUGUACUGGUGAAUGGCUAGUGUCAUUUUUGUUUAAUUUUGUUUUGCUUUUUGAUGGUAGAUGAGAUGAAAUUUUAGCUCUUUCCUCACCAAUCCAACUUAAGAGGCUCUUGGACUUUGUUUUCCCCUUCAACCUAAAAGAACAAGGCAUGUAUAGACAACUGUAUUUGGUGUCUCAACUCAUCCGGUCCCCAUAUUAGGAAAAAGCCUGCUGCCAACGCAGGCAGCUGCACACUCCUAACCCUUCUCCCGGGCUUGGGGUCCCUGGUUGCCAUGGAGAGCUCUCGCAAGGUGCUUCUGUACUCCUCCAGCCUGGAGUGGAGGGUGACUCAGGCUGGCUCCUGCUAUGGAAAGGGAACCAGCCUCAUUUUCUCAGUGCCCCGAGUUCUAGGGCAGGAUUUCUAAACUGGAAUCACCCCCCAUGGGCUUGAACAGGCCCCAAGGGGUAUAUGACUAUCUGUGUCCUCACCACGACACUGGCGGCAGCAUCCUGUAUACACAUGCAGAGCUAAUGCCCAGGGCUUCACUCGAGCUGGUGAUCCAGCCGGUAAACUGGGGAAUGCCCUGAAAUGUUUCCCAGUCAAUAAGGCCACAGGGAGUUGGUUUUUAUGUUUUAUUGGACUUGGUUUGCUUGGUAUAACUUAAGGUGCCUUUCUUUUCUUUCUUUCUUUUUCUUUUUUCUUUCUCUCUACAUUAUUUUGUAGGGCUUGUUAUAAAUGUGGAAAACUAGUCCAAUAGACUUGUUACCUUUGCCCCAGGCCACCCCAAACUUUUAUGCUCACAUUUUAUUAAAUGAAGCAGGUGCUCCCUGGAAUCUCUGGGACCUUUUUGAGGCAUUUGAAGCAGAAUAUAAAGAGUGGUCUCAUCUCCUUCCUUAAUCUUCAUAGUGAUUGGGAUGUUCCACUUGUAUCAUAGAUUUUUUUAUUACUGAUGUGCUCCGCUGUUUUUAAAUGUGAACUUGUGCGCAAAUGUGCAGAUUCAAUGUUCUUGUUACAGACUGAAUAAAUUUUUAUUUUGAAGAUGAAA